UGGGGAAUAUUGCACAUUGGAGGGAACUCUGAUGCAGCGACGCCGCGUGAACGAAGAAGGCUUUCGAGUCGUAAAGUUCUUUUAUAUGGGAAGAUAAUGACGGUACCAUAAGAAAAAGCCCCGGCUAACUACGUGCCAGCAGCCGCGGUAAUACGUAGGGGGCUAGCGUUGUCCGGAAUCACUGGGCGUAAAGGGUUCGCAGGCGGAAAUGCAAGUCAGGUGUAAAAGGCAGUAGCUUAACUACUGUAAGCAUUUGAAACUGCAUAUCUUGAGAAGAGUAGAGGUAAGUGGAAUUUUUAGUGUAGCGGUGAAAUGCGUAGAUAUUAAAAAGAAUACCGGGGGCGAAGGCGACUUACUGGGCUCAUUCUGACGCUGAGGAACGAAAGCGUGGGUAGCAAACAGG
rnacentral:rRNA from 1 species